UCUCUUGGAUUUUAAACUCUAAGUAGAACCUGCCCUCUGAAAAAAUUUUAAAGGCAGCGGUACUUUGACCGUAUGAAGGUAGCGAAGUCAUUUGGCUUUUAAUUGGGGUCUGGUAUGAAUGGUUUGACGAUUGAAAAACUAUAAUUUUGUUAAUAAGAAAACUUUAGUUUAAGGUUAAAACGCCUUGAUUUUUUAAAGGGACGAGAAGACCCUAUAGAGCUUUAUUUGCGUGAGCAUAUUUAAGAUAGACGCAUGUUUGGUUGGGGCGACACAAGAAAUGAACUUCUGAAAAACAAAAUUUGUUUACUAAAAAUUUAGACGGUAAAAAUUUUAUUUUAAAUGAAAAGUUACCUUAGGGAUAACAGAGCAAUAAUAAAAAAGAAGAAAAAUUAUUUGAAUUUAUGAUUGCGACCUCGAUGUUGAAUUAGGGUAUUUCUAUUAAGCACAAGUUGUUGGAAUAGGUCUGUUCGACCUUUGUAACCCCACGUG
rnacentral:rRNA from 1 species